UUACAAGAGACACACCUGAAACCCAGAGAGCUUGAGGCCUUUCCAGGACACUGAGCAGAGGGUUUUGCUGGGUCAGGUCCCGGCUGAGACCUGGUUUCCCCAUCUGCUCUGUGAGGGCCUUGGCACACGUGACUGCAGGGGUCUGCCAGGACCGGACAGAGGGGCAAGAAGCUUGUCUGAGUUCUCAUCACAACCACCUCCACGCACAUCAGCCAGCGUUUACGACCCUCCCGCGGUCUGUGGUCUGAUUAACUCCAGCCACCCCAGGAAGCCGGCAAGCAGGCUACUUUGCAGAGGAGAAACUGAGGCUCAGAGAGGUUCAGUAACGUGUCCAGGGUCACCGAGGACUGAUGAACGGCACGGUUAUGAGCGAAAAGCCAGAUUCUGGAGCCUUAACCCGACACCUCCCCUGCUGCACUACGCUGGCUGCUUUCGUCCAGGAAUCCACCCAAAGUCUAUAAAAGUCAGAUCGCUAAAUUGUUCAUAUAAAUCCAUCCCUGCCGGUCUGUCCCCUCGACUCAGGGAGAAGACAAACCUAGAAAAAACCAGCCCAUUUCCUCCUGCUGGGAGCCCUUCUUGUUACCUGGCAGGACUAGGGAAGGAAGGAAACUUUCCCAAACGCCUCUUCCAUCUGCCCGCCUCCCUCUGCGCUGGGUCCGCCUGUNNNNNNNNNNNNNNNNNNNNNNNNNNNNNNNNNNNNNNNNNNNNNNNNNNNNNNNNNNNNNNNNNNNNNNNNNNNNNNNNNNNNNNNNNNNNNNNNNNNNNNNNNNNNNNNNNNNNNNNNNNNNNNNNNNNNNNNNNUAGUGGCGGCGGGAACAGCUCAUCUUUCAAGGGCUGGGCGGUGAUGUCAUCACCCUCGCGGGCACUUCCUCCCUCCACCUCCAGCCUUGCUCCGCGCUCCUGCCCCGCGCCUGUCUGCCCCGGGCAGGCGGGCUGGAGUUUCUGGAACCCAGACCCGCGGAGCCCAGGUGGGGUGGCCGCGGCCGUCCAGGGCUCCACAGCCCCACCGCCGACCCUGAGCCCCGUGGAAGCUUUCCAGGUUAGCCCGCAGAGGGUUCUGCGCUGUAGACAGGCUGCCCCUUAGAGCCCUGGAGUGGCACACGCGGUCUGGGCUCCAAGUCAGCCUGGAUUUCAGUCCCGGGGUUGCCGUUUCCCCGGCAAAAAGCCUCAGGCCAGUGACUUAACCUCUCUGAACCCUGAGAUGGAGCUAUAGGGACAAAUCUCAGAGCGGGCGUGGUGAGGACCAGCCCUGGCCAACGUCUCCGUCUUACUGUGGCUGGCACUUUGUAAACCACAGCUGUGCGGUACCUCAGCGAAUCCUCGCGGGAACCCAGGCAUCCUGGCUCCAAAGUCUGUCCUUAACCACGUCGCUCUCCUCUUUUCUCAAUUAAACGGCAGGGAAGGGUGUGAAUGGGGGAUGCGGAGCAGGCGACCCCUAAACCCUCGUUUGCUCCUCUCUGGCACGGACACACUCGCCCAGUGCAUACCUUUGUCUCAUAGCACAUUUGAUGCCUGUCAUGAUUUGUUUUCCCUGGGUGCUCAUUUUCUGUUGGAGUUGAGGUGUAAACAGUGGGGGUUUUGGCAUAGACGGUGUACACAAAGCGUGGCCAGGUGGUAGGGGAAGUCUGAUUUUUUAAAAAUUACAGUUGAUGGGCAAUAAUUGUGUUAUUGUCAGUUACAUAUUUGAGGGGAUUAUUUUCCUUUAUAGGUUAUUAAUGGUAUUGACUACAAUUCCAUGCACAGGCAGCUUUUGUAUUUUAUAUACAGGAGUUUAUAUCUGCUAAUCCCAAACUCCUAGUUUGUCUCUCUCCCCUCCUCCCCUUCGGUCACCAUAGGUUUUUUUUUCUCUGUGCGUGAGUCUGUUUUUCUUUUGUAGACACAUUCAUUUGUAUUCUUUUUUAGAUCCCAGGUAUAAGCGAUAUCAUAUAAUAUUUGUCUUUUUCUGUCUGACUUACUUCAGUAAAUAGAGGAUAUUGGAGUUCCCUGGUGGCACAGCAAGUUAAGGAUCUGGCGAUGUCACUGCAGGGGCUUGGGUCGCUGCUGUGGCGCGGGUUCGAUCUCUCAAGGGAUGACAGUGGCAGAAACUCAGAAACAUCUUCAGAGAUAGAACAUCGCUCCCUGUCCUUUUUUUCUGGUGACACAGGGUUUGUGCCCCUGCGACUCAGCCGUUCCUUUGGGGACUUUUGGAUCUGGUUUCCUCCCAUUUCAACACUGAUUGGCUUUCUUGGCUUCAUUCUGGAAACUUACCGACAAUCCCCAGCGCUUAACAGUCUCAGACGCUUAGAAGCUGGAAAGUUCAGGGGCCUUCAAACAUCUUUUGGAAAGAGGCUUAGGGCUUUUCUUUCAAAAGAGAGCAGAUAUUGUGGGCUGGGGGGCCUGGGAAAUGGACGGGAGGGUUGAGCCCACCUGCUGUCUCCACUUCUGUAACUUCUCUGAACUAAGCCCACAAACCAGAGAUCAAGUCCAACUCCAUCAUCAUCACCAGUGACUCCUCAUACAGUGGCCAGUUCUACCCCCCUGGGACCCCAUAAUCAGAGGCUUCUGACUUCCCACAUGGGGGCGGUGUCCUGUGGAUAGGCUGCCUGGGGUCCAUCAGCCCUCAAAAUGGUAUAUAGUACUGAGCUACAUGCUUUUUCCAGGAGAGAGGAUCUAGAGCCUUCAUUAAAUUAUUGAAAGGCUCUUCACGGAUCCCAAGCAUCUUGAGACCCUCAGAAGUCAGAUGGGCAGGGACCUUGUGACGUCCCCUCCAGCUCACAUACUCUAGGGAUGUAUGAGAUGAAAAUCCUCAAAGAUCUGAAUGCAGUGCUGCUGCUCUUGUAAACACGAUGG
ensembl:lncRNA